CACGUAGGGCGCAAGCGUUGUCCGGAAUUAUUGGGCGUAAAGAGCUCGUAGGCGGUCUGUUACGUCUGCUGUGAAAACCCUGGGCUUAACCCUGGGCUUGCAGUGGAUACGGGCAGACUAGAGGCAGGUAGGGGAGAAUGGAAUUCCCAGUGUAGAGGUGAAAUUCGUAGAUAUUGGGAAGAACACCGGUGGCGAAGGCGGGUCUCUGGGCCGAUACUGACGCUGAGGAGCGAAAGCGUGGGGAGCGAACAGG
rnacentral:rRNA from 1 species